GCUGGGCACGGUGGCGCGUGCCUGUAAUCCCAGCUACUGGGGAGGCUGAGGCAGGAGAAUUGCCUGAACCCAGGAGGCGGAGGUUGUGGUGAGCCGAGAUCGCGCCAUUGCACUCCAGCCUGGGUGACAGAGCGAGACCCUGUCUCAA
rnacentral:sRNA from 13 species